rnacentral:rRNA from 1 species
AAUGAACGUUGGCGGCGUGGAUUAGGCAUGCAAGUCGUACGAGAAUCGUAGCAAUACGAGGAAAGUGGCGGAAGGGAGAGGAUUACGUGGGAAUCUACCCUCAGAACUGGGAUAGCGGCGGGAAACUGCCGGUAAUACCAGAUAAUGUCUGUGGACCAAAGGUGUGAUUCCGUCUGGGGAUGAGCCCACGUCCUAUUAGCUAGUUGGCAGGGUAAUGGCCUACCAAGGCAAUGAUGGGUAGCGGGUGUGAGAGCAUGACCCGCCUCACUGGGACUGAGAACUGCCCAGACACCUACGGGUGGCUGCAGUCGAGAAUCUUCGGCAAUGAGCGCAAGCUUGACCGAGCGACGCCGCGUGCGGGAUGAAGGCCUUCGGGUUGUAAACCGCUGUCGUAGGGGAGCAAGAGAUGAGGGUACUCCCUCUGAUUUGAGCGAUCCUAGGAGGAAGGACGGGCUAAGUUCGUGCCAGCCGCCGCAGUAACAC